CACAGGUCUCUGCUAAACCGUAAGGUGAUGUAUAGGGGCUGACGCCUGCCCGGUGCUGGAAGGUUAAGAGGAGUGGUUAGCUUCUGCGAAGCUACGAAUCGAAGCCCCAGUAAACGGCGGCCGUAACUAUAACGGUCCUAAGGUAGCGAAAUUCCUUGUCGGGUAAGUUCCGACCCGCACGAAAGGCGUAACGAUUUGGGCACUGUCUCAACGAGAGACUCGGUGAAAUCAUAGUACCUGUGAAGAUGCAGGUUACCCGCGACAGGACGGAAAGACCCCGUGGAGCUUUACUGUAGCCUGAUAUUGAAAUUCGGCACAGCUUGUACAGGAUAGGUAGGAGCCUUUGAAACGUGAGCGCUAGCUUACGUGGAGGCGCUGGUGGGAUACUACCCUA
rnacentral:rRNA from 1 species